UACGGAAGGGGCAAGCGUUGUUCGGAAUCAUUGGGCGUAAAGGGCGCGUAGGUGGUUCUGUAUGUCUACCGUGAAAGCGUACGGCUCAACCGUAUUUUGUCGGUAGAAACUGCAGGACUUUGAGGCUGGGAGGGGCUGGUGGAAUUCCCUGUGUAGCGGUGAAAUGCGUAGAGAUGGGGGAGAACACUCGUGGCGAAGGCGGCCAGCUAGACCAGUUCUGACACUGAGGCGCGACAGCGUGGGGAGCAAACAGG
rnacentral:rRNA from 1 species